rnacentral:misc_RNA from 1 species
AUGAGAUCACUGGCAGCAUCAUCAGUCUGCAACACCUUCAGUUGGCAACAAAGAGAAGUAGCUAUGAAGAAAAGUCUACUUGGCCUCAUCAAAAAGUAAGUUCCUUGUGGCAGUUCAAGGUUUUCUUUACAAGCCUCAGUCACAGUGGCAAAGUAGCAAGCCACAAGACGGUUUGAUAUGUUGCGCAACCACAGAUGCGGAUGCAAAAGCAACUCACAGAUUGCUUCCCACAGAUCCUCAAAAUCCUUUCUGAAGCACAACUUAGGAAAUUGAUUUAAUAUCUUCUCAAACAGAACCAGUGAAUAAUAUGCUUCUUUCCAAG